GGGGAAUUUUGGACAAUGGGCGCAAGCCUGAUCCAGCCAUGCCGCGUGAGUGAAGAAGGCCUUCGGGUUGUAAAGCUCUUUCGGCCGGGAAGAAAUCGUGUUCUCUAACAUAGGACAUGGAUGACGGUACCGGACUAAGAAGCACCGGCUAACUACGUGCCAGCAGCCGCGGUAAUACGUAGGGUGCGAGCGUUAAUCGGAAUUACUGGGCGUAAAGCGUGCGCAGGCGGUUUUGUAAGACAGAUGUGAAAUCCCCGGGCUUAACCUGGGAACUGCGUUUGUGACUGCAAGGCUAGAGUACGGCAGAGGGGGGUGGAAUUCCUGGUGUAGCAGUGAAAUGCGUAGAUAUCAGGAGGAACACCGAUGGCGAAGGCAGCCCCCUGGGCCUGUACUGACGCUCAUGCACGAAAGCGUGGGGAGCAAAC
rnacentral:rRNA from 1 species